GUUUCAGGUGACGAUAGGCAGCUGCUCCAGUCUUUUGGUCUCACGCUGCGUUUCAGGGUUGGCUGUCGUAUCUGUGCAUACAUACGUUCCCGUGCAAAACGUGUAUAAACAGGCGUGUGUGUGUACGGUAGAUACAUAUUUUUUUGAUAUGAUUUGAUUUAUGUAUAAUAGCGCAUAUAAAGCUUUUCAAGGUGGCUGCAAUGUAAAAAGUAAUGACUUUAUUACCUCUGAAAGGUUCUGUGGUUCACAUUUAACAGUCCUCUGAAUUACAAUUCAUUACAGUUGUGCGCUCUCUAAAGCCAACAUACAUCAGAACACCUAUCUGUGGUUAUUUCCAGUAAAUAACAGGCAACAUUUUAUUGAUUUUCUUUAAAAAAUCAUAGCAAAUUAAGCACUUAGUUACAAGUAAAUCUGUUUUAUUAUUGCACUAUAUUUGAGAUUCCAGAGGUGACCUCCUAGACCGCAUCUUAAAACAUACAUUCAAAAGCUAAUUUCACAGAUGCUUUCGUGAAUGGCAGCGAGAAUGUUUCUACCAUUAGUAUGCCCUUAAUUCCAGCAUCAUAAAAAGCCUCGAAUUAAAUGGAAACUCGCUCCCUUAAAACAGUAUUUCAUCCUGUCUGGAUAAUUAUUAAUAUUGGCAUUUGAUCACAAUAGUGCCGUGCUCCCCCUGCGCCCCCCCUCAGCACUUUGCAUUGUCAUGUGAUUGGAGGGAGAUAACAAACCUCAAGAAAGAAAAGGAGUCAGAAGACAUUUUUAACAUGCUCUAACCACAGAUUAAUAAUCGAGUCCCACAGGAUGCUCCGCAAUCUUGCUGCAACAGUUUGAGCUGCUGUCAUCUUAGCCACUCUUUCGCCAGAGACUCCCGGCCCCAGAGCAACGGCAGCGUGAGGAAAUGUGGCCCCACAUCUCAGCUGCAUCUGGGCAAACUCUGAGUUCCAGGUCUAGUCAACGUUUUCCAGCCUUCAUCAUCUCACCUGGGAGGCGCUCAGAGAGGCACGUUAGCAAAGGCUGUAUCGUCCCUUCUCUGUAUCACAGACCUACGCAGAAGCAGCUGGUGAUGCUUGCGCACAGGACCCGUAGCCUGAAACACGCGCCAGGGCCCUCUCCUUUCCCGUGCAGCAUCUGAGGGAUUAAAAGUAGCCACUGGUUUCCAAAUUAAAAACAUGCUCAAAUUUAAGUAUAAUCACCAUUAAAAAUUUGCAACACAACACGAGACCAUUUAAAAAAUCAUGUAAAGAGAAAGCAAUCUUUUGUGGAUCCUUUUUUUGUGCAGCUGUUAAAUUCAAAACCAUGCUGUUUGUUACAGUAACAUUUUGCAGGGCAGUAGUCAAAACCAUGAAGUGGGCAUUUUGGCAUUAAAAAAAAAAGCCAAAGUAAACAAUACAGCUAAUUUAUAAGUGUUUAGAUGUGCAGUAUGUUUAAUACAAAUAUUCCUAUCAGUACGGUGGUGGCCUCAUAUAACAGGGUAAGCUACAGUUCAGACCUGUGAUGGUCUAUUGAAUACAUAAUAUGCAUGGUUUAAAUUGCCUGGAAACGUAUUCAUAUGGCAAAAUCUAAUGAUUCAGGUGGAGCCUUUACUCUUGAUCAAAUACUACAAGUUGUUAGAGACCAUGCUGUAAGCUCAUUGCUCACCAGUCUCCAUGAGAACUGUUUCAUGUUCCUGUUUAAAUAGGACUGGAGAGCAAGAAGGAAAAAAUAAACCACAAAAGAGUUAAUCCA
ensembl:lncRNA